rnacentral:rRNA from 1 species
GAUGAACGCUGGCGGCGUGCCUAAUACAUGCAAGUCGAGCGAACAGGCGAGGAGCUUGCUCCUCUGACGUUAGCGGCGGACGGGUGAGUAACACGUGGAUAACCUACCUAUAAGACUGGGAUAACUUCGGGAAACCGGAGCUAAUACCGGAUAAUAUAUUGAAUCGCAUGGUUCAAUAGUGAAAGACGGUUUUGCUGUCACUUAUAGAUGGAUCCGCGCCGCAUUAGCUAGUUGGUAAGGUAACGGCUUACCAAGGCAACGAUGCGUAGCCGACCUGAGAGGGUGAUCGGCCACACUGGAACUGAGACACGGUCCAGACUCCUACGGGAGGCAGCAGUAGGGAAUCUUCCGCAAUGGGCGAAAGCCUGACGGAGCAACGCCGCGUGAGUGAUGAAGGUCUUCGGAUCGUAAAACUCUGUUAUUAGGGAAGAACAAAUGUGUAAGUAACUAUGCACGUCUUGACGGUACCUAAUCAGAAAGCCACGGCUAACUACGUG